AGUGAACGCUGGCGGCGUGGAUUAGGCAUGCAAGUCGAACGAUCCCGCAAGGGAUAGUGGCGAAAGGGUGAGUAACGCGUGAGCAAUCUACCUUCGAGUGGGGAAUAACCCUGCGAAAGCGGGGCUAAGACCGCAUAAGACCACGGUGGGGCAUCCCACUGUGAUAAAAACGGGGACCGCAAGGCCUGUUGCUUGAAGAUGAGCUCGCGUCCUAUCAGCUUGUUGGUGAGGUAACGGCCCACCAAGGCUUUUGACGGGUAGCUGGUCUGAGAGGAUGGUCAGCCACAUUGGGACUGAGACACUGCCCAGACUCCUACGGGAGGCAG
rnacentral:rRNA from 1 species